rnacentral:rRNA from 1 species
UGGGGAAUUUUGGACAAUGGGCGCAAGCCUGAUCCAGCCAUGCCGCGUGCGGGAAGAAGGCCUUCGGGUUGUAAACCGCUUUUGUCAGGGAAGAAAUCUUCUGAGUUAAUACCUCGGGAGGAUGACGGUACCUGAAGAAUAAGCACCGGCUAACUACGUGCCUGCAGCCGCGGUAAUACGUAGGGUGCAAGCGUUAAUCGGAAUUACUGGGCGUAAAGCGUGCGCAGGCGGUUUUGUAAGACAGGGGUUGAAAUCCCCGGGCUCAACCUGGGAACUGCCUUUGUGACUGCAAGGCUUGAGUGCGGCAGAGGGGGGAUGGAAUUCCGCGUGUAGCAGUGAAAUGCGUAGAUAUGCGGAGGAACACCGAUGGCGAAGGCAAUCCCCCUGGGCCUGCACUGACGCUCAUGCACGAAAGCGUGGGGAGCAAACAGGAUUAGAUACCCUGGUAGUCCACGCCCUAAACGAUGUCAACUGGUUGUUGGGAAGGUUCCUUCUCAGUAACGUAGCUAACGCGUGAAGUUGACCGCCUGGGGAGUACGGCCGCAAGGUUGAAACUUAAAGGAAUUGACGGGGUCAUAGCUGUUUCCU